UCUCUCUCUCUCUCUGCUUUUUACAGUGAAUUGACUUAUUGAGGAACAAUGCCCAGCACUAGACUCCUAGUAAUACAAGGGCCCGGGAUCUGAUGCUAGUAACACCAAUCACAAUUGGUUUUGCAUUAACUGUGGGCUGCUGCUGGUCUUAACUCUUGCUAACAGACCAUGAUUUGUUUGGGGCAGGAACAUGCCCAGUCUUAUGGCAGACACUGUCAGCCCCAGAUCCCUGAUAAUGACCACUAUCCAUUUUAGUUAAUUCGAAGGAGGUAGCCACUGCUGAGAACUGUGGGAAGACAGUUCUCUUAAAGAUCAAUGGAAAAGGUGAAGAUGAGGCCGAGUCUUUAUUUCCACAGUUCAUCUUCUUGCGUUGAGUGAGAUGAGAUCCAGCAGCUUGUUUGAAGCCAUAAGGCAAAAGCCAAGAGACAUGUAGAAACAUGGGCCUGGAAAAUGCUGGCUCCUUGAUGAAGGUUUUCGAUAUUGACAUGAUGAUAUUUGGGGCCAGAGAAAUCAUCAUUAUAAAAAGUGGUAUUCUUUUCAGUGGCAUGCUUAAAUGUGAUCCUGUUUUUGACCCACCAGGGGCUGGUAGUAUUUAGCAACAAUUGAAUAUAUGUCUCACAGUUAUGACAAGAAAAAAGAUGCCCAGACAUUGCAAAACGUCCUUUGGGACUGAAUGAAAGAAUGUCAUCACACAGAAAAUGACCAAAUUAGACUAACAUGAAGGAGACCUACACUACUCUGCAUCAGGAGGACAUUAGAAGUCUAUUUUUCUUGAAGUUGUGGAAUCAUGUUUUGUGUUAUGGUGGAUGAAAGCAUUCCUUGCGAAUGCACAGCAGACACAUGGCUAGCAUAUGCAUAGGACCUACUGACACGACAGGGUGUUAACUGGUGCUUUCCACCCCAAACUGCCUGAUCUCCCUGCAGAAGCAGCAUCCUGCCUCCACAAUAGGACCCCAAGGCACCCUGAACAUUCUCCUACAACAAGGUUAUCUCUGUACCUUCUUACUGUCUUUGUAGUCUAUUUUCUCUUCACAUGGGUGUCUGUGUCUGUGCAUGCUCAAGUAGGUGCAUGUGUACGCAUGUCAAAGCCAGAGAACAUUCUUGGCUGUCAACUCCAGGAACAUCAUCUGCCUCUUUUGAGACAGGGUCCUUUAUUGACAAGAAACUCGCAAGUUAAGUUAGACUGGUUAGUCAGUGAGACCCAGGGAUUCUCCUGCCUCUGCCUGCCUGGUUCUCAGAUUACGAGCAUGGGCCAACAUAUCUAGUAGUUUAAAGUGGGUUCUGGGGAUUAAACUAAUAAUUUUUUGUUUACACAGCAAGUGUUUUUUCAACUGAGCUCUCCUUUCUCAGUCUUUGUAUUCUUUUUAUCCAGGAUAAAUCUUAUGACAGUGUGUAUUGUUCCACACGAUACUAACCAAACUACCUGAGACAUAGAUUCUAGAAACCUGUAGCUAAGAAUAUAAAAUUCCAGUAAAAUUUCCUGAGGUGAAAUUAUGACUUCCAGAAGUGAAAUGAAUGUUCUGGAAAGAGGGAUCCAUUUUCUCUGAGACUGUAAAGUACAAUGUUAUCUCCAUCCAACUCCACCUCUACCAAAAAGAUUCAAGGUCCCCAUCCUUGAAAGCUUUCAUUUUGGAAAGUGAGGUGACAAAGUGGGGAGGGGAGGGAUCCUACCAUUGAGUAGGUAUAAAUAGAGAAGUUCAAGAUACUUUGGGAGCACUUGGCUUUUAUGCAGGAUUUCUCCACUUCUGGUGAAAAAGGGACAGAAGUCCGUGGAACUGACAUUUAUAUUUUGCACUGCAAAUACAAAGCCACAGAUUUAUGCUUUGAGGCUGUUUUAUUUACAAAAUAUUUUGGCUUUGUCACAUAGCCAUGAUACAGAAAAAUCAGCAAAUAUCUCUGAAGGCAUCCUUUAGCCUCCGGUGCAAACAUCUUUGGGUAGCAGCUGGUCAUUCAUUACAGAUAGAGAGACAACCUGGAACUGAGGCUCUCUCAGUCAAGGGCUCAUUUAUUUCUGCCUUGUGGUAUAAGGAAGCACUUCCUUCUAUGUAACUCUCAUUUCUCCUGGUGCCCUGGAAGACUGUGUUCUUUUGGACUCUCCUUUCAGAAAACAAAUCACAACCCAAGAGAGUGGAGCACCUCAAACUCCCAUUUAGGAUCCUAGAUGUAUUUGGGUUUUCAGGAAACGAUUUGUUGUGCUGGUAAGCUUCGUAUUCCACUCUCAACCUGGUAUCUCCGUCUUCAUUAUGACAGAUCCCAGUGUGUGCUCUUUCAAAGCAGCUACAGCCGACAAUGAGCGAUUCCUGCAGAGAUAACACACACCAUUGGUCAUGUCUCUAGAAGUGUGGUAUCUUAAGAAAGCCAGAGUGCUUUUCUCAUUUUUCUCUUGUUCGGGCUACAAGAGUCAGAGCGGAAGGUCUAAUAGCUGAAGUUUGUAAUAAUUACAACUUGGGCCCUGCCAUCAUUUUGGUAUGGCCUGAGUGUUAAAAAUGGGAUUUCUUAAUUUGAAUUAUUGAUCAGUAUGUUCACUCCGGCGGCCAUUCUCCUCUUCAAAUAGGCAGUAGAUCUCAGCUGACAAGGAUUUGUGCUUUGAAAAAUAUCAGCAAACUCUGGAGCUUCAAAUAGAGUCCUGGGCAUUCUCAAUCGAGCUGAGAGCUGCCUUCCUAAAACAUCCGUCACGGAGGAUAAAUAAAAGCCAACAUUUUAAGACAUCGGAAUGGGAGUGCAUGCUCUCUCAGGCUGAAAACAUCUUUGCUGGGGUGAUCUCCUAGGACAACACUUCAGAACAUUAAUGUGUCCAGGAGUCACCUACUGAUCUUGUUAAAAUGCAGAUCUGUUUGCAGUGGGUCUGGAGAGGCUUGAGAAUUUAUUUUCAGCCACUCCCCAGUGAUGUCACUGCUGCUAGUCUUGAAGGCUCCAGGCAGGUUCCAGUGAGGUGUUAAAGCAGUAAGCCUACUCUGGUAUUGAGAAUACAACUCCUGCCCAAAUCUAACACAUUCCUUAUUGCCUAAAUAGUAAAUUAAGACCAUGGUCUCUCAUUCCAGAAUAUUCUUAUGUGGCCAUAAGACAUUGAAAAUGCUCUUUCAGGGAAGCUGGCACAAGCUCGGCCAACUUUUGCCUCAAGAGAUGAACCAAGGAAUGACCUCUAUAGAGUAAGAAGUCUAUGAAUGGAACUUGAGUUCUCUGGAAGAACAAUAUGUACUUUUAAAAGCUAAGCCAUCUCUCCAGACCCAGAAAUCAAUACUUUUGAAUAUGUUUUGUACCAAUGGAUGGCAAAUAAGGAGGAAAACAGGGUGCUUGCCUUCAACCUUUGGCGUGGUAAUAUGUGAUUAACUCACUCCAUCUUCUCACUGAUGCUGAAACCAACCCAGUCUGCCCAGGACCACUUCUCCAUGGCGGUAUGCCUUGGGAGACAGGAGGACUGGUGAGUACAGGCCCUCCUCUUAUGAGGUAGUGUCUACUGCGACUGACAUCUCCACGCAAGUUCAGAAGAAAUUUAAUGAUGGGCUUCAGGUGGGGCUCAGGAGAAAGAUGGUAUUACCAAACCCAAGGUUCAGAGCUACAAUUUCCAGGUGCUUGGGGAGGUACUCGGAAUGCCAAGAGCCAUCUCAAGAGACAUGGUGGUUUUUAAAACUUACCCACCUGGCCAGGUUGUUUUGACUCCGAAUGUUGAUCUGGAGACAGUAGAGCUGAGGAGAGAGUGAAAUGGGUACUGUUCCUUGCCUGUCUGACCUGUAUCCUAUUUGUCUUUUCAGCCCCCAACUUUGCUCAAACACACCAACC
rnacentral:sRNA from 1 species